rnacentral:rRNA from 1 species
CCUUGACAUGCAGAGAACUUUCCAGAGAUGGAUUGGUGGCCUUCGGGAACGUCUGACACAGGUGCUGCAUGGCUGUCGUCAGCUCGUGUCGCGAGAUGUUGGGUUAAGUCCGUAACGAGCGCAACCCUUGUCCUUAGUUACCAGCACGUUAUGGUGGGCACUCUAAGGAGACUGCCGGUGACAAACCGGAGGAAGGUGGGGAUGACGUCAAGUCAUCAUGGCCCUUACGGCCUGGGCUACACACGUGCUACAAUGGUCGGUACAAAGGGUUGCCAAGCCGCGAGGUGGAGCUAAUCCCAUAAAACCGAUCGUAGUCCGGAUCGGAGUCUGCAACCCGACUCCGUGAAGCUGGAUUCGCUAGUAAUCGCGCAUCAGCCACGGCGCGGUGAAUACGUUCCCGGGCCUU